rnacentral:rRNA from 1 species
CCUACGGGUGGCUGCAGUGAGGAAUAUUGGUCAAUGGGCGAGAGCCUGAACCAGCCAAGUCGCGUGAGGGAGGACGGCCCUACGGGUUGUAAACUUCUUUUGCCGGGGGACAAAAGGCGGCACGCGUGCCGUCCUGAGGGUACCCGGAGAAAAAGCAUCGGCUAACUCCGUGCCAGCAGCCGCGGUAAUACGGAGGAUGCGAGCGUUAUCCGGAUUUAUUGGGUUUAAAGGGUGCGUAGGGUGUAUGCUAAGUCAGCGGUAAAAUACGGGGGCUCAACCUGCGUACGCCGUUGAAACUGGCGUUCUGUGGUGGGCGAGAAGUACGCGAAAUGCGUGGUGUAGCGGUGAAAUGCAUAGAUAUCACGCAGAACCCCGAUGGCGAAGGCAGCGUACCGGCGCCCGACUGACGCUGAAGCACGAAAGCGUGGGUAUCGAACAGGAUUAGAUACCCGGUAGUC